UGGGGAAUAUUGCACAAUGGGCGCAAGCCUGAUGCAGCCAUGCCGCGUGUGUGAAGAAGGCCUUCGGGUUGUAAAGCACUUUCAGCGAGGAGGAAGGUGGUGAGCUUAAUACGCUCAUCAAUUGACGUUACUCGCAGAAGAAGCACCGGCUAACUCCGUGCCAGCAGCCGCGGUAAUACGGGAGGGUGCAAGCGUUAAUCGGAAUUACUGGGCGUAAAGCGCACGCAGGCGGUUUGUUAAGUCAGAUGUGAAAUCCCCGGGCUCAACCUGGGAACUGCAUUUGAAACUGGCAAGCUAGAGUCUCGUAGAGGGGGGUAGAAUUCCAGGUGUAGCGGUGAAAUGCGUAGAGAUCUGGAGGAAUACCGGUGGCGAAGGCGGCCCCCUGGACGAAGACUGACGCUCAGGUGCGAAAGCGUGGGGCAGCAAACAGGAUUAGAUACCCUGGUAGUCCAGCGCUGUAAACGAUGUCGAUUUGGAGGUUGUGCCCUUGAGGCGUGGCUUCCGGAGCUAACGCGUUAAAGUCGACCGCCUGGGGAGUACGGCCGCAAGGUUAAAACUCAAAUGAAUUGACGGGGUC
rnacentral:rRNA from 1 species